rnacentral:rRNA from 1 species
GACGAACGCUGGCGGCGUGCUUAACACAUGCACGUCGAGCGGAGCGGCGAACGGGUGAGUAACGCGGGAGUAACUGCCCCCCUCUCUGGGGUGACAGUUGGAAACGGCUGCUAGUACCGGAUAGUGGGGGUUGACGCGGGUCAUAUGAGCUUGUUGGUAGGGUAGUGGCCUAGCAAGGCGAGGACGGGUAGCCGGCCUGAGAGGGCGACCGGCCACAGUGGGUUGAGAUACCGCCCAAACGCCUACGGGAGGCAGCAGUGGAGAAUAUUGCACAAUGGGGGAAAUGCUGAUGGAGGAACGCCGCGUGCGAGAUUACGGUCUGCGGGUUGGAAACCGCUUUCAGCAAUGCCGCGGUUGUGGCAGAAGAAGCACCGGCUAACUACGUGCCAGCCGCCGCGUAAUUC